UACGUAGGCAGCAAGCGUUGUUCGGAGUUACUGGGCGUAAAGAGUGCGUAGGCGGUGCCCUAAGUCUGUUGUGAAAUCUCCCGGCUUAACUGGGAGGGUGCGGUGGAAACUGGGGUGCUUGAGUGUGGGAGAGGUUAGCGGAAUUCCUGGUGUAGCGGUGAAAUGCGUAGAUAUCAGGAGGAACACCGGCGGUGUAGACGGCUAACUGGACCACGACUGACGCUGAGGCACGAAAGCGUGGGUAGCAAACAGG
rnacentral:rRNA from 1 species